rnacentral:snoRNA from 1 species
CCCCUCUCAGGAUUGCACCUGGAGAGUUUCCACUACUCUACCAGUCUCGGCUAUGGGAGGGAGAGUAAAGCAGAGGCCUGUCCGUUCCAUUCCUAGAUUGGACAGUGGCUAGCGAGCGGAAGGCAAUCUGCUACAAGA